rnacentral:rRNA from 1 species
GUCUCUGGCCAUACCGACCUGAACAUGUCCAGUCUCGUCUGAUCUUGCAAGCUGAGCGGGGUCAGGCCUGGUUAAUACUGGAUGGGAGAACUGGAUCAUUUAUAUUCUGCAGGCA